rnacentral:rRNA from 1 species
UGGGGAAUUUUGGACAAUGGGCGCAAGCCUGAUCCAGCCAUGCCGCGUGCGGGAAGAAGGCCUUCGGGUUGGAAACCGCUUUUGUCAGGGAAGAAAUCCUUUGAGCUAAUACCUCGGGGGGAUGACGGUACCUGAAGAAUAAGCACCGGCUAACUACGUGCCAGCAGCCGCGGUAAUACGUAGGGUGCGAGCGUUAAUCGGAAUUACUGGGCGUAAAGCGUGCGCAGGCGGUUAUAUAAGACAGAUGUGAAAUCCCCGGGCUCAACCCGGGAACUGCAUUUGUGACUGUAUAGCUAGAGUACGGCAGAGGGGGAUGGAAUUCCGCGUGUAGCAGUGAAAUGCGUAGAUAUGUGGAGGAACACCAAUGGCGAAGGCAGCCCCCUGGGUCAAGAUUGACGCUCAUGCACGAAAGCGUGGGGAGCAAACA